UCCUACGGGAGGCAGCAGUGGGGAAUUUUGGACAAUGGGCGAAAGCCUGAUCCAGCAAUGCCGCGUGUGUGAAGAAGGCCUUCGGGUUGUAAAGCACUUUUGUCCGGAAAGAAAUCCUUGGCUCUAAUACAGUCGGGGGAUGACGGUACCGGAAGAAUAAGCACCGGCUAACUACGUGCCAGCAGCCGCGGUAAUACGUAGGGUGCGAGCGUUAAUCGGAAUUACUGGGCGUAAAGCGUGCGCAGGCGGUUUGCUAAGACCGAUGUGAAAUCCCCGGGCUCAACCUGGGAACUGCAUUGGUGACUGGCAGGCUAGAGUAUGGCAGAGGGGGGUAGAAUUCCACGUGUAGCAGUGAAAUGCGUAGAGAUGUGGAGGAAUACCGAUGGCGAAGGCAGCCCCCUGGGCCAAUACUGACGCUCAUGCACGAAAGCGUGGGGAGCAAACAGGAUUAGAUACCCUGGUAGUCCACGCCCUAAACGAUGUCAACUAGUUGUUGGGGAUUCAUUUCCUUAGUAACGUAGCUAACGCGUGAAGUUGACCGCCUGGGGAGUACGGUCGCAAGAUUAAAACUCAAAGGAAUUGACGGGGACCCGCACAAGCGGUGGAUGAUGUGGAUUAAUUCGAUGCAACGCGAAAAACCUUACCUACCCUUGACAUGGUCGGAAUCCUGCUGAGAGGUGGGAGUGCUCGAAAGAGAACCGGCGCACAGGUGCUGCACGGCUGUCGUCAGCUCGUGUCGUGAGAUGUUGGGUUAAGUCCCGCAACGAGCGCAACCCUUGUCCUUAGUUGCUACGCAAGAGCACUCUAAGGAGACUGCCGGUGACAAACCGGAGGAAGGUGGGGAUGACGUCAAGUCCUCAUGGCCCUUAUGGGUAGGGCUUCACACGUCAUACAAUGGUCGGAACAGAGGGUUGCCAACCCGCGAGGGGGAGCUAAUCCCAGAAAACCGAUCGUAGUCCGGAUUGCACUCUGCAACUCGAGUGCAUGAAGCUGGAAUCGCUAGUAAUCGCGGAUCAGCAUGCCGCGGUGAAUACGUUCCCGGGCCUUGUACACACC
rnacentral:rRNA from 1 species